rnacentral:tRNA from 1 species
GAGGGUAUUGCUGAGUGGUAGAGGGCUUGCCUAACAUGCAUGAGGUCUUGGGUUCAAUCCCCAGCAUCUCCA